GGGUGAGUAAUAUAUCGGAACGUACCCUAGAGUGGGGGAUAACGUAGCGAAAGUUACGCUAAUACCGCAUACGAUCUAAGGAUGAAAGUGGGGGAUCGCAAGACCUCAUGCUCGUGGAGCGGCCGAUAUCUGAUUAGCUAGUUGGUAGGGUAAAAGCCUACCAAGGCAUCGAUCAGUAGCUGGUCUGAGAGGACGACCAGCCACACUGGAACUGAGACACGGUCCAGACUCCUACGGGAGGCAGCAGUGGGGAAUUUUGGACAAUGGGCGAAAGCCUGAUCCAGCAAUGCCGCGUGAGUGAAGAAGGCCUUCGGGUUGUAAAGCUCUUUUGUCAGGGAAGAAACGGUGAGAGCUAAUAUCUUUUGCUAAUGACGGUACCUGAAGAAUAAGCACCGGCUAACUACGUGCCAGCAGCCGCGGUAAUACGUAGGGUGCAAGCGUUAAUCGGAAUUACUGGGCGUAAAGCGUGCGCAGGCGGUUUUGUAAGUCUGAUGUGAAAUCCCCGGGCUCAACCUGGGAAUUGCAUUGGAGACUGCAAGGCUAGAAUCUGGCAGAGGGGGGUAGAAUUCCACGUGUAGCAGUGAAAUGCGUAGAUAUGUGGAGGAACACCGAUGGCGAAGG
rnacentral:rRNA from 1 species